GGUGGUGCAAGUGCUCCGUCUGUGGGCGCUGGAUGUAGUGUUGCAAAGCCUGUCAUUGUCAUUCCGGAACAUGUGGACUGAUCUUCUGUGCGUGCAGAGCGGCGUUUCUCGAACGCCAGCUUCGGCACGAACGGAAGCAUUGGCCCCAGCGACCACCGUCCUUCGGUGUCGCUUAGCACGAGCUCGACGCCCGUGCCCUCGCCGCCCUCCCAGGUGCGCAAAGACGCGCCGGCCCCGCCACGCAAGCCUCCCGUUGUAAACUUUGCCACCGCCACCGCCGCCGCCACCGCCGAAGACGACGUCGGCCGACCCUCGGUCGUCAACUCGCACGGUUCACAGACCAUCGACGCGUCACAAGUCAAGUUCACGACGGGCGGCAAGAACAGGACCAUGAAAGUCAUAAAGCCCAGCAUGGAUCGCUCCCCAUCCAGAUCCUUCACCUCUCCUAAUGGAGUUCGGAUGGUCGAGCGUUCCACAUCCCCUUUUAAUAUCGAAGAUUACCCUGGUAAUAGAAUCCACAGUAACGCGUGUACACUUCUUUGAAAAUUCCAGCGAUAUCUUCGUCGGAAAUUUACAAAUCAAUGUAGAGGCAAGCCACCGAACAUUUCAUCGUAGUUUAAAAACCAAACUGUCUUAGGGUACGCACACAGUGAAAGCAGGUUGCCAGCGUGCUG